AAAAAAUGAAGACAGAGAAGGGUCUUCUUCAUCUUCUUCAACACACAAACAAAAACCUAGUGGAACCCUAAAAACCAAGCCGCCACCCUACUUCCAUGCCCGCCUACCACCCCUGCUAACCCUCACUGCCCCCACGUCAUCCCUCACCCCCAACGUCUGAAAAACACCCAAACCAUACUCACCAAACAAAACCAAACAAACCCCAACAGCCUGCCACCCUCGUCGCUGCUCAACCAGUCGAACAACCAGCCCCACGUCAUCAACUGCCAUCUCCAUCGUUCAGUACCACCCAUCCCACUUCGUUGCUGCCUCACGCCCAAACAUUCUCCAAUACUUCAUCAUCAUCCCCAACCAAACAACCAAAAUAGCAGCUCGUUGGAACACUAAAAGCAGCGGCGACGACCACCCUUGGGACUUCGUUUUCUUCAGUCCACCAUCUAAUCUCUUCUCUGUUACUGCUGCAACAAAGGUAAUGUUUCUACUAAUAUCAGUUUCAGCUAGAGGUUUGUUCGUUGGUUGUUUAUUUCUGUUCAAGUUCGUCGUUGUUCCGAUCCGGUUACUUGGUUUAAGUUUCAUUUAUGUCCGUAUUUUGUUUGAUAUUCUCGGAUAUGAAAUUAGUAUGUGUUUGAUUCUUUUCUUGUUAGUUGUUUAUCAUUUCUUGAUUAUUUCUUCGAUUUGUUUUUACCCGUUUGUUCUUGUAUAGUUUUAAUAUAGAAGUAUGUUAGUUUAAUCACUUGAAUCUCUUAUCUUGAUUGUAAUGUUAAUAGAUUUAAGUUGAAGUUCGAUUGAUUAUUGAGUUUAGUAAUUUGAAUCUGUUUAUUUGUUCUGUUAAGUUUAAUUUGAAUUUGAGUUUAGUGAUUUGAAUCUACUUGUUUGUUAUUGUUGAUGAAUCUGAAAGUAUGUUUCUGGUUCAAAUGUUGUUUAGUCAAAAUAACUUCAGUUGGUUCUUUGUUGUUCAUCAUAUAGUUUGAAUUUGUUGAUUGAAUUUGAUUAGGAAUUGGUUAUAGCUGCUGUAUUUUGGUUAAUUGUUUAGGUGAAUUAGUUAUAGCUGGUAAUUUGAUUUUAGUUUUUAAAUAAUUUUUGAAGUUUGAACGGAUUUUGAAUCAGGGCAGUAACAAUAGUAUUCAGGGGUGAUUUGGAAAUAAAAGAUUAGGGAAUUAGUUUAAUAUUAAUAAUCUAAAAAUGGGGUACUAAAGGGUAUUAAACUAAUAAGUAAUGGGGGACAAGACUUGUAGUGGUGGGGAACAAGACAUAAGAUGUAAAUUAAAAAGGGGUAAUAAUAAAAGGUCUUCUUUGACCAUUGAAAAUGGGGGAGACUCUGGGGUCCGUGUUGACUAUCAUCUAAUUAAGUAAAAUUAGAAAUAGCAUAGGCAAUAAUAAAAAGUUAAAAAGUUACAUAGUUAGAAGAAUAUGGGCUGAAAAGUAAAAGAGGGAAUAUAGUUAGUAAUAAUAGUUUAAAAGUAAAAGUUAAUAGUUAAAAGAAUAGAGGAAAGAGUCUUGCUUUGGAUAUAAAUAAGAGUCAUUUUGACACUUAGAGGUGGAACUGAAUUUAGAGAGAAAAAUAUAUUCAAAACUUAAGAGAACGAAAAUAGAGAAUAAGAAAAGAAUUGAUUGUUUAACACUUAGAGGUCUAUUGAAUUUGGAGAGCAUAAUUUCAGAACUUAAAAAGAAACAUAAAUAGAACUUUUGAACCUUAGGAAUUCCAGAUUUUUGAGAGCUAAAAACUGAGGAUUUAUGUUUCCUUUCACUAUUGAAAUCAGCCUUAAGUAUUAUUGUUUCAUUGUAGUUUGAAGUUUCUUUUCUUUGUGUUCGAAAAAAAAAAUCAGAAGCUACUAAUUUCUCUUGUAACUGGUUAUUUAUCUGUUAGUCUGUGCUUGUUUUCUAAUUCUACUAGAAUUCAAGUAGUGUUGCUUGGGUUUACCUUUGGUUUUCGGUUGGUUUGAAAAUUCUUGGUUUUUCCGCUUGGUUGCAAUCUCUUGGGUUUUCUGCUAUUCCCACUGUUACUGGGCUAUUCCCAUGUUGUCGAACUGUUGCUGCUAUGUGUGUGCUACUGCUGCUUCAACUCAUCUUCCUCUUCUUUGCUUUCCAAACUCCAGGUACACAAAUUGAUACACUGGUUCUUGUAGAAUGGAAAUUGAAGCAUGAAUAUGAAAUGAAGAGUUGAAGUUCUGAAUUUAUCUUAGUUAUAUUCUGAAUUUUAGUUAUAUGUGUACAUUAUUUAGCUUCCUUUUAUUAGAAUCAUGUAGUGG
rnacentral:lncRNA from 1 species